rnacentral:rRNA from 1 species
UACAGAGGCCUCGAGCGUUAGGCGGAAUCACUGGGCUUAAAGCGUGUGUAGGUGGAUGCCUAAGUACCUUGUGAAAUCCCACAGCUUAACUGUGGAAUUGCUGGGUAUACUGGGUGUCUUGAGCCACUCAGGGGCUACCGGAACAAACGGUGGAGCGGUGAAAUGCGUAGAUAUCGUUUGGAACGCCAAUGGUGAAAACAGGUAGCUGGGGGUGUGCUGACACUGAGACACGAAAGCCAGGGGAGCGAACGGG